rnacentral:rRNA from 1 species
CGAACGGCAGCGAGGAGAAGCUUGCUUCUCUGUCGGCGAGUGGCGAACGGGUGAGUAUAGCAUCGGAACGUGCCAAGUAGUGGGGGAUAACCAAACGAAAGUUUGGCUAAUACCGCGUAAGCUCCAAGGAGGAAAGUAGGGGACCUAAAUAAGGCCUUACGCUAUUUGAUCGGCCGAUGUCGGAUUAGCUAGUUGGUGGGGUAAUGGCUCACCAAGGCAAUGAUCCGUAGCGGGUCUGAGAGGACGAUCCGCCACACUGGGACUGAGACACGGCCCAGACUCCUACGGGAGGCAGCAGUGGGGAAUUUUGGACAAUGGGGGAAACCCUGAUCCAGCCAUGCCGCGUGUAUGAAGAAGGCCUUAGGGUUGUAAAGUACUUUUGUUAGGGAAGAAAAGCUAGUUUUUAAUAAAAAUUAGUGAUGACGGUACCUAAAGAAUAAGCACCGGCUAACUACGUGCCAGCAGCCGCGGUAAUACGUAGGGUGCAAGCGUUAAUCGGAAUUAUUGGGCGUAAAGCGAGUGCAGACGGUUACUUAAGCCAGAUGUGAAAUCCCCAAGCUUAACUUGGGACGUGCAUUUGGAACUGGGUGACUAGAGUGUGUCAGAGGGAGGUAGAAUUCCACAUGUAGCGGUGGAAUGCGUAGAGAUGUGGAGGAAUACCGAUGGCGAAGGCAGCCUCCUGGGAUAACACUGACGUUGAGGCUCGAAAGCGUGGGGAGCAA